rnacentral:rRNA from 1 species
UACGGAGGGUGCGAGCGUUAUCCGGAUUCACUGGGUUUAAAGGGUGCGUAGGUGGGCAUGUAAGUCAGUGGUGAAAUCUCCGUGCUUAACACGGAAACUGCCAUUGAUACUAUGUUUCUUGAAUUUUCUGGAGGUUAGCGGAAUAUGUCAUGUAGCGGUGAAAUGCCUAGAUAUGACAUAGAACACCGAUUGCGAAGGCAGCUAACUACAGGGAUAUUGACACUGAGGCACGAAAGCGUGGGGAUCAAACAGG